rnacentral:rRNA from 1 species
UACGAAGGGGGCUAGCGUUGUUCGGAAUUACUGGGCGUAAAGCGCACGUAGGCGGACAUUUAAGUCAGGGGUGAAAUCCCGGGGCUCAACCUCGGAACUGCCUUUGAUACUGGGGAUCUCGAGUCCGGGAGAGGUGAGUGGAACUGCGAGUGUAGAGGUGAAAUUCGUAGAUAUUCGCAAGAACACCAGUGGCGAAGGCGGCUCACUGGCCCGGAACUGACGCUGAGGUGCGAAAGCGUGGGGAGCAAACAGG